AGUGAAUAGAUACCCCGGUAGUCCACGCUGUAAACGAUCGGUACUAGAGAUGGUGGGAGUUGACCCCUCGCCGUCUCGGAGCUAAACGCGAUAAGUACCGCGCCUGGGAAGUACGGUCGCAAGACUAAAACUCAAAGGAAUUGACGGGAGCCCGCACAAGCGGUGGAUUAUGUGGUUUAAAUUCGAAGCAACGCGCAGAACCUUACCUAGGUUUGACAUCCUCUGACAAUACUAGAGAUAGUACUUUCAUAGCAAUAUGACAGAGAGACAGGUGCUGCAUGGCUGUCGUCAGCUCGUGUGGUGGCAUGUCGGGUUAAGUCCCUCAACGAGCGCAACCCCUGUGUUUAGUUGCCAGCAUUAAGUUGGGCACUCUAGACAGACUGCCGUGGUUAACACGGAGGAAGGCGGGGAUGACGUCAAGUCCUCAUGGCCCUUACACCUAGGGCGACACACGUAAUACAAUGGUCGAUACAGAGGGAAGCGAAAGGGUCGACCUGGAGCAAAU
rnacentral:rRNA from 1 species